AAAGACAUUUUUGUCCUUGCAGAUUUAAUUGCUGGAAAAUGGCCAGCGAGUUUCUACCGCCUACCUAAAGUGGCGACAAUCCGCAAAUGACUCACAAGA
rnacentral:ncRNA from 2 species